CCGCGGCGAUUGGGCGGAGAGCAGGUCAGGGCACCCGAGGGACCCGCCCCGCCCGGCUCAUCCCUGUCCCCAGCCUGAAUCCUGGCACGUGCUCCGCACUCCCCUGACCUGGCCCCCGGAAUGGAGCCCUGCGGGGGCACAGCGACCUCGGUGGUGCCCCACCCUGGAAGUGACAGUGGGGAAGCUGAGGUCUGGACGUCGCCCUUGGGAACCCAACUACACCUAAGUGGAUUCUGUAGUCCUUCACUUAAAUAAUGGGCUAGCCUCUGGAGGGUCUUACCUGUCUUCAGACCUGACCUCUGUGAGCUGUCCCCCAACUGCUGUGUAAGAAACAAAGCUGGGCAAGCGCCUCCCCGCUGACAAUCCUGGAGACCCUACAAGGACUGGUCCCUGCCUUCAGCCUCAUCGCCACCACCAUUCCCCACAUAUCCCUCUAGCGCUCCUCUGGGUGGGCAUCUUGGACUUCGUGCUGUUUCUUUGCCCCUGUCCCUGCUCCACGCCUCACCUCCUACCCUGGUUUCUACAAGCCCAGCUGAAGGGUUCCAGAGCCGGAAGCCGUUGUUGCAUAGCACAGGUGCCCUGCUGCGUCAUACUGGAGUCUUCGACAAUGGGAUGUUGCACAGCCAAUGAGGAGCCAGAGAACAAAAACAGGCAGCCGUGUGAUAGCGAGAUCUUCAUAAAACCUGUUCCUGAAGGCAGACAGCAGAGCAUUCCACAGUUUAUUUAUUGGCUGCAGUGCCUCCCUCCCUCCCUCCUCUUCUAUUCCUUCCUCCAGCUCUGUUAGAUAUUUGCAAUUCAUUUGUAUCUGAUGUUCUCUCUGAAACAACCACUGAAAUAAGAUGAGAUUCCUUUUUUCUCUUGCCAGGUCAACAUUCCAGUAUCCUGUUUUUUUCCUAACAGAGCACAGUUAUGAAUGCUAUGUAACAAUAUAAUUUAACAUUCAUGCCAG
rnacentral:lncRNA from 1 species